AGUCGCGUGGUCUAAUGGUUAUGAUUUCUCGUUCACAUUGAUGUGUUCAAAGAUCCGAGAAGGUUCCGUGUUCGAUCCACGGCGUGACUA
rnacentral:tRNA from 3 species